UACGGAGGGUGCAAGCGUUGUCCGGAAUCACUGGGCGUAAAGGGCGCGUAGGUGGCCACUUCAAGCGUGCGGUGAAAGUCGGGGGCUCAACCCCUGAUCGGCCGUGCGAACUGGGGGGCUGGAGCACUGUAGAGGCAGGCGGAAUUCCGGGUGUAGCGGUGGAAUGCGUAGAGAUCCGGAAGAACACCGGUGGCGAAGGCGGCCUGCUGGGCAGUUUUGCUGACACUGAGGCGCGACAGCGUGGGGAGCAAACAGG
rnacentral:rRNA from 1 species